GUGAAUCAUCGAAUUUUUGAACGCAAAUUGCACUCUCUUCGGGGAGUAUGCCUGUUUGAGGGUCAGCCUAAAAAAAAUCGACAUAGUCGCUGUUUUCGCGGUGACAUUCGUCGGGAAUUGGUUCAUUUUAAAUAUUUGGGUUUUAAGCGGCUUAAAAUUUUCUUUACGGAUUCCACGAACGUUUCUAAGAUUUACUUCUUACACACG
rnacentral:misc_RNA from 1 species